UACGUAGGUGGCAAGCGUUGUCCGGAUUUACUGGGCGUAAAGGGCGUGCAGGCGGUCUGUUAAGUCUAGGGUGAAAGCUCCCGGCUCAACUGGGAGAGGUCCUUGGAUACUGGCAGACUUGAGGAGAGUAGAGGAGAGUGGAAUUCCCGGUGUAGUGGUGAUAUGCGUAGAUAUCGGGAGGAACACCAGUGGCGAAGGCGGCUCUCUGGGCUCUACCUGACGCUGAGGAGCGAAAGCGUGGGGAGCGAACAGG
rnacentral:rRNA from 1 species